AUUCAAAGGACAAAGACCUGGUUCCUACCUCGAGCAUACAAAAGUUCAAUAUGGGAAUACCUUGGAUAUUGUAAUUGUGAAUACAGAGUUAUUUCAGGGCCCUUCAGCUGGUGCUAUGGAGCAUCAGUUACUAUGGCUCACGAAGACACUGGAAGAAAGCACCAGUGACUGGCGCAUUGUUGUUGGUUUCCACCCACUGUUAGCUUGUAAUGGAAGUACGGAAGCUAAAGACAAUCCUCUCUGUCUUAAUGAAAUGUUUUUGAAUC